rnacentral:rRNA from 1 species
UACGUAGGGUCCGAGCGUUGUCCGGAAUUACUGGGCGUAAAGAGCUCGUAGGUGGUUUGUCGCGUUGUUCGUGAAAACUCACAGCUCAACUGUGGGCGUGCGGGCGAUACGGGGCAGACUAGAGUACUGCAGGGGGAGACUGGAAUUCCUGGUGUAGCGGUGAAAUGCGCAGAUAUCAGGAGGAACACCGGUGGCGAAGGCGGUUCUCUGGGGCAUUACCUGACGCUGAGGAGCGAAAGUGUGGGGGAGCGAACAGG